UUCACCGCCACACUUCCCUUUUUUACCAUUAGCAGCCACCAAACCCCCAUUUCCAUUUCCCUCCACACCGCAACACGCACACAUAGACCUCCCUCUCGACACCCACACUCAACGUCACACACCUCCCUCACCCUCCAUUGUCGCGCCAGCCACCCACGCAGAGAGAGAGAGAGAGAGAGAGAGAGAGAGAGAGAGAGAGAGAGAGAGAGGAGCGUCGCCGGCAGAAGGAGAGGUCAUCGCCGCUGCCGAAUCGUCGAGUCGUCGCGCCAUACUACCGCGAAGCCGCCGAACUGCAUGCGUCGUUGCCGCAGUUGGAGGAAGCCCGUGUCGCCGUCUUUCUCGCCGUUGCCGGAGAAGCCUGAGGAGACGGGGAGACAGAACACGAAGGAUGCCAUCCGUGUCACUUCUUCGUGUAUUUUGUUCCGUCUUUUGCGCGUUGAUUCCCUUUUGUUGGUUUUCUGCGCUUGUCAAAGUUCAAACCUUUCUCUGAUCUGGAUGGAUCUAGUUCCAGUUUCUCAGAAUUUGGUUUUCUGGGAUGUCGAGGAUACUUGAACGUCACUGAUUCUACCUCAAAGGUUUCUUCUUUUGUUCAUUCUUCAAUUGACGGAAUAGCUUCGGGAUUUUUGUUUUUUGUUUUUUGUUGUUUGUUUGAUUUAUGCUAUUUUAGUUACGCUGGAAAUACAAAAAGGGGGUUUCUGUUAUCUUUGGAGGAAAAUUGAUUGGGGGUGUUCUACUGUUCUCAGUUGAGGGUUGACUAUAGUCAAUUUACCUUCAAAAAGAGUGAUUUGAGUUGAAGUUAAUUAAUUAACUUCUAUUCAUGGUAGGUACAUCAGCUUUGAUAAUCCCUUGGAAUUAUAUGACACAAAAAUAAAAGUUUUAUUAAUGGUAUACUUUUAAUAAACUUUACAAAUUUGUGAUCAUAUUUUUGUUGACUUACCGUGUUCUAUGGUGCAUGCCGAACAAAAGCCCAAAGUAUUGCUUUAGAAUUACUUUUGGUUGAUUAAAUCGUGCAAUUAGUUACAAAAUAUCAUAUUAAAUUCACUGUAGAUCCUAUACUAACUCUUUCUAAUAUGAAAUUGUUUGCUGCCAUGUGCUUACUAUGUAUAGUUUAGCUUAUAUAAUUAGAUGUUCUUUGCAGGCCUAUUUAAUUUGGAUUCACUAGCACAUUAUAGUUCUCUUACUAGUUAUUUUCUGCAACCAUUAAAAUGUGCAUUGGCGGCCUCUAUGCCAAUGGCAAGUUGGUGAGCAUGUAACUACCUUUGUAAAAUAUGUGUCAUAUGACAUUAUGUUAGCUUCAACUUCCAUUGCAUUAUUGUUAUAUUGAUGUCAAAUUUUUGUCAAGCUGAAUUUGUGCCUUUCAAUUCUGUUUCUGAAUCUAAAAAGUAAGUCCAUAAUGUUGAAUAAAUGCUCUUUCUCCAUUUAUUAAAUUGCUCAUGUUUGAAGUUAUUUGUGCUUGCCAAAUUGGUUUUGUUGAUAAAUAGUUGUUGAGUUUAUUUGCAUGUUUCUAGGCUCAACGUGCAGGUUGCCUGUUGAAGAAAAUUCUAUAAGUCAUUGAGUUGCGUGUUUCACAUCAAGCAGAAAGCAUAAAAAAUGUAAAAUUAACUUUAUAUGUUCAAUGCCUCCCUAGUAACUGUUUGAGUGAUUGGAACUACAGAGACCCUGCCUGCCUCCUCUCACUUGUUCAAUUCUUGAGGGAAUAGAAAUGUAUAUGAGUUCUGUUGCUGAGAAGGUGCUGUGCUUUCAAAUGGUAAAGUGGCUAAAACAAAUGUUCUCAAGCGUUGAGAAGAAAGAAUAGCAAUACUAGAAAUAAUCUAUUUUAGCAGAGUCUAAGUUGUAUUGCUCCCAAGCCUGUGGAACAAUUCUGUUAAUAGUGUCUAUUUAGUGUUAGUAUAUAUAUCACUGUAUAAAACUAAGAUCGAGAGAAGUGUAUUCACUGAACUAUAUUGAUAUGUUUAGCUGGUUACUUUAAUUACAACUUAUCUUAA